GGAUCUGCCACAGGCUGUGUUCUUAUAAUGACUAUAUAGAAAGAGGAGGCAAAGUAAACCUACCAAAUAUAUACCUCAGCCCAGGCCCUAUGCCUGCUCUAUAUUUUGAAUGGGGAGAUGUGG
rnacentral:snoRNA from 1 species